GAUGAAGAACGUAGCGAAAUGCGAUAAGUAAUGUGAAUUGCAGAAUUCAGUGAAUCAUCGAAUCUUUGAACGCACAUUGCGCCCGCUGGUAUUCCGGCGGGCAUGCCUGUUCGAGCGUCAUUUCAACCCUCAAGCUCUCCGGAGUUUGGUGUUGGGGCGCCUGGGGCUUUUCGACCUCAGGGCCCUCAAGUCCAUCGGCGGGACCGCCAGGACACUGAGCGCAGUAGUAUUAUUUCGCUCGGUAGGAUCUUCCACGGCGGGUCGAUCUGGCCGCUAAACCCCCCAAUUCUCACCAAAGGUUGACCUCGGAUCAGGUAGGAAUACCCGCUGAACUUAAGCAUAUCAAUAAGGGAGGA
rnacentral:misc_RNA from 1 species